UUUCCGUAGGUGAACCUGCGGAAGGAUCAUUAUUGAAAUAAACCUGAUGAGUUGCUGCUGGUUCUCUAGGGGACAUUGUGCACACUUGUCAUCUUUAUGUCUCCACAUGUGCACCUUUUGUAGACCUGGAUGUAUUUUCUCAAUGCGCUAGCGUGUUCAGGUUUGAGGAUUGGCUUUCAACUGCCUCUCCUUGCAUAUCCAGGCCUAUGUCUUUGUUCAUAUACUCCAAAUGUAUGUUACAGAAUGUAUUUAUUGGACUUUUUGCGAAGCCCAUGUAAUCUAUUACAACUUUCAGCAACGGAUCUCUUGGCUCUC
rnacentral:misc_RNA from 1 species